rnacentral:rRNA from 1 species
GAAUGAUAUCCGAGUGACGGUACUUUAUGAGAAAGCCACGGCUAACUACGUGCCAGCAGCCGCGGUAAUACGUAGGUGGCGAGCGUUAUCCGGAAUUAUUGGGCGUAAAGAGGGAGCAGGCGGCGGCAGAGGUCUGUGGUGAAAGACUGAAGCUUAACUUCAGUAAGCCAUAGAAACCGGGCUGCUAGAGUGCAGGAGAGGAUCGUGGAAUUCCAUGUGUAGCGGUGAAAUGCGUAGAUAUAUGGAGGAACACCAGUGGCGAAGGCGACGGUCUGGCCUGUAACUGACGCUCAUUCCCGAAAGCGUGGGGAGCAAAUAGGAUUAGAUACCCUAGUAGUCCACGCCGUAAACGAUGAGUACUAAGUGUUGGGAGUCAAAUUUCAGUGCUGCAGUUAACGCAAUAAGUACUCCGCCUGAGUAGUACGUUCGCAAGAAUGAAACUCAAAGGAAUUGACGGGGGCCCGCACAAGCGGUGGAGCAUGUGGUUUAAUUCGAAGCAACGCGAAGAACCUUACCAGGUCUUGACAUCCGGAUAAAGACCUCAGAGAUGAGGGGAUAGAUAUAUCCGAGACAGGUGGUGCAUGGUUGUCGUCAGCUCGUGUCGUGAGAUGUUGGGUUAAGUCCCGCAACGAGCGCAACCCUUGUCGCUAGUUACCAUCAUUAAGUUGGGGACUCUAGCGAGACUGCCAGUGACAAGCUGGAGGAAGGCGGGGAUGACGUCAAAUCAUCAUGCCCCUUAUGACCUGGGCUACACACGUGCUACAAUGGAUGGAGCAGAGGGAAGCGAAGCCGCGAGGUGAAGCAAAACCCAUAAAACCAUUCUCAGUUCGGAUUGUAGUCUGCAACUCGACUACAUGAAGUUGGAAUCGCUAGUAAUCGCGAAUCAGCAUGUCGCGGUGAAUACGUUCUCGGGCCUUGUACACACCGCCCGUCACACCAUGAGAGUUGAUAACACCCGAAGCCGGUGGCCUAACCGCAAGGAGGGAGCUGUCUAAGGUGGGAUUGAUGAUUGGGGUGAAGUCGUAACAAGGUAUCCCUACGGGAACGUGGGGAUG